GAUGAACGCUGGCGGCGCGCCUCAAACAUGCAAGUCGAGCGGGGCUAUGUAAUAUCGCAAGGUAGAACAUAGCCUAGCGGCGAACGGGUGAGUAACACGUGGGUAACCUGCCUGGAAGACAGGGAUAACGAUUCGAAAGGGUCGCUAAUACCUGAUAAUAUCCUUUCAUCGCAUGGUGAUAGGAAGAAAGGGGAAACCCGCUUUCAGAUGGGCCCGCGUCCCAUCAGCUAGUUGGUAAGGUAAAGGCUUACCAAGGCGACGACGGGUAGCCGGUCUGAGAGGAUGUACGGCACACUGGGACUGAGAUACGGCCCAGACUCUACGGGAGGCAGCAGUUGGGAAUCUUAGGCAAUGGACGAAAGUCUGACCUAGCGACGCCGCGUGAGGGAAGAAGGCCUUCGGGUUGUAAACCUCUGUCAUGGGGGAAGAAGUAAGUGACGGUACCCCAAGAGGAAGCCCCUGCUAACUACGUGCCAGCAGCCGCGGUAAAAGUACUCUAAU
rnacentral:rRNA from 1 species